UACAGAGGUCUCAAGCGUUGUUCGGAUUCAUUGGGCGUAAAGGGGUGCGUAGGUGGCGCCGUAAGUCGGGUGUGAAAUUUCGGAGCUUAACUCCGAAACUGCAUUCGAUACUGCGGUGCUUGAGGACUGGAGAGGAGACUGGAAUUCAUGGUGUAGCAGUGAAAAUGCGUAGAGAUCAUGAGGAAGACCAGUGGCGAAGGCGGGUCUCUGGACAGUUCCUGACACUGAGACACGAAGGCCAGGGGAGCAAACGGG
rnacentral:rRNA from 1 species